rnacentral:rRNA from 1 species
GAUGAACGCUGGCGGCGUGCCUAAUACAUGCAAGUCGAGCGAACGGACGAGAAGCUUGCUUCUCUGAUGUUAGCGGCGGACGGGUGAGUAACACGUGGAUAACCUACCUAUAAGACUGGGAUAACUUCUGGAAACCGGAGCUAAUACCUGAUAAUAUUUUGAACCGCAUGGUUCAAAAGUGAAAGACGGUCUUGCUUUCACUUAUAGAUGGAUCCGCGCUGCAUUAGCUAGUUGGUAAGGUAACGGCUUACCAAGGCAACGAUGCAUAGCCGACCUGAGAGGGUGAUCGGCCACACUGGAACUGAGACACGGUCCAGACUCCUACGGGAGGCAGCAGUAGGGAAUCUGCCGCAAUGGGCGAAAGCCUGACGGAGCAACGCCGCGUGAGUGAUGAAGGUCUUCGGAUCGUAAAACUCUGUUAUUAGGGAAGAACAUAUGUGUAAGUAACUGUGCACAUCUUGACGGUACCUAAUCAGAAAGCCACGGCUAACUACGUG